rnacentral:rRNA from 1 species
AUGCAAAAGACGCUCCAAGACUUGCACAUAUCGCAUGAACGAAACGAAUCCAAAAACAUACCGAUACCUGUUGAAGAAAGAGGGGAUGCCUUCCGAGGCAUCCCCAAGCUUAGGCGCUUGAGUCUACUUGAAUAUUUACUUGGGGUGCCUUGGGCAUCCCCAUGCUUGAGCUCUUGCCUCUCUUUCUUUUCCUCAUAUCGAGACCUCCUCGAUCAAACACUUCAUCCACACAAAACUUCAACAGAAAACUCAGUAAGAUCUGUUAGUAUAAUAAAGCAACUCACUACUCUAAGUACUGUAGCAAACCAAUUCAUAUUUUAUUUUUUCAUUGUGUCUACUGUAAUAUAA